UACGUAGGGUGCGAGCGUUAAUCGGAAUACUGGGCGUAAAGCGUGCGCAGGCGGUUUUGUAAGCCAGAUGUGAAAUCCCCGGGCUUAACCUGGGAAUGGCAUUUGGGACUGCAAGGCUUGAGUGCGGCAGAGGAGACUGGAAUUCCUGGUGUAGCAGUGAAAUGCGUAGAGUAUCAGGAGGAAUACCGAUGGCGAAGGCAGGUCUCUGGGCUGACACUGACGCUCAUGCACGAAAGCGUGGGGAGCAAACAGG
rnacentral:rRNA from 1 species